ACUCCUACGGGAGGCAGCAGUAGGGAAUCUUCCGCAAUGGGCGAAAGCCUGAUGCAGCAACGCCGCGUGAGUGAUGAAGGUCUUCGGAUCGUAAAACUCUGUUAUUAGGGAAGAACAAACGUGUAAGUAACUGUGCACGUCUUGACGGUACCUAAUCAGAAAGCCACGGCUAACUACGUGCCAGCAGCCGCGGUAAU
rnacentral:rRNA from 1 species